rnacentral:lncRNA from 1 species
AUGGAGGUGCACGAGGCUCUGCGUUCUGAGGACACCGGGCGUCUCACGGGUCACAGCCGUGGGAGCUCAGAUCAGAGUCACUUGGGGGGGUUCAAGGUCACAGCUUCAGAUCUUGCACUGGCAGCACACGGGGACACAGCAGCUGGACUGGGAGCCCCACACGAGCCGCAGCCCCCCUUAGACUCCCCACAGGAGCCGCAGCCCCCCUUAGACCCCCCACAGGAGCUGCAGCCCCCCUUGGAGCCCCCACAGGAGCCGCAGCCCCCCUUAGACCCCCUACAGGAGCCGCAGCUCACCUUGGACCCCCUACAGGAGCCGCAGCCCCCCUUGGAGCCCCCACAGGAGCCGCAGCCCCCCUUGGACCCCCCGCAGGAGCCGCAGCCCCCCUUGGACCCCCUACAGGAGCCGCAGCUCACCUUGGACCCCCUACAGGAGCCGCAGCCCCCCUUAGACUCCCCACAGGAGCCGCAGCCCCCCUUAGACCCCCCACAGGAGCUGCAGCCCCCCUUAGACCCCCCACAGGAGCCGCAGCUCACCUUGGACCCCCACAGGAGCCGCAGCCCCCCUUGGACCCCCCGCAGGAGCCGCAGCCCCCCUUGGAGCCCCCACAGGAGCUGCAGCCCACCUUGGACCCCCCGCAGGAGCUGCAGCCCCCCUUUGACCCCUCGCAGGAGCCGCAGCCCCCCUUGGAGCCCCCACAGGAGCCACAGCCCCCCUUGGAGCCCCCGCAGGAGCCGCAGCCCCCUUUGCCGCAGCUGGAGCAGGAGCGGGCUGGCACACAGCAGCAGACGGGCACACAGCAGCUGGAGCCGCAGCCCCCGGAGCAGCCAGAGCAGCCCAUGGUUCUGGUGGGUUGAGGGUGGAGUAGGUCAGAGGAGCAGGUGGAGAGAGAGAAGCGGCUCAGUGUGGGGCCUCCGGGGCCGGGAGCCUCUAUAUACCUGCCGGGGCAGGUGUGACUUGGGCACAUGCUCACUUCCUGGUUCCCAUCUGUGCUGUGUCUUGUUUGUGGGCCUGGAAUCCAUGGGCUUCUGUUGACUUUUCCCAGCAGACACCCUCCUAGGUUUCUAAGUCUGGCUUCUUCCCUGUCUUGUUUGUUUCCUGUAAAAAGGAACAGUCCAGCUUUGUGCUAUUUCCAGUUUUCUGUUGACUACAUAUAACUGGG